GGGUACUCGAGUGGCGAACGGGUGAGUAACACGUGGGUGAUCUGCCCCGCACUGUGGGAUAAGCCUGGGAAACUGGGUCUAAUACCACAUACGACCACACUGUAGACAGUGUGGUGGAAAGCUUUUGCGGUGUGGGAUGAGCCCGCGGCCUAUCAGCUUGUUGGUGGGGUAAUGGCCUACCAAGGCGGCGACGGGUAGCCGGCCUGAGAGGGUGGACGGCCACAUUGGGACUGAGACACGGCCCAGACUCC
rnacentral:rRNA from 1 species